UACGGGGGGGGCAAGCGUUGUUCGGAAUUACUGGGCGUAAAGGGCUCGUAGGUGGCCAACUAAGUCAGACGUGAAAUCUCUCGGCUUAACCGGGGAACUGCGUCUGAUACUGGAUGGCUUGAGUUUGGGAGAGGGACGCGGAAUUCCAGGUGUAGCGGUGAAAUGCGUAGAUAUCGUGAGGAAGACCAGUGGCGAAGGCGGAUCUCUGGACAGUUCCUGACGCUGAGGCGCGAAGGCCAGGGGAGCAAACGGG
rnacentral:rRNA from 1 species